AGGGAAUCUUCGGCAAUGGGGGCAACCCUGACCGAGCAACGCCGCGUGAGUGAAGAAGGUUUUCGGAUCGUAAAGCUCUGUUGUAAGUCAAGAACGGGUGUGAGAGUGGAAAGUUCACACUGUGACGGUAGCUUACCAGAAAGGGACGGCUAACUACGUGCCAGCAGCCGCGGUAAUACGUAGGUCCCGAGCGUUGUCCGGAUUUAUUGGGCGUAAAGCGAGCGCAGGCGGUUUGAUAAGUCUGAAGUUAAAGGCUGUGGCUCAACCAUAGUUCGCUUUGGAAACUGUCAAACUUGAGUGCAGAAGGGGAGAGUGGAAUUCCAUGUGUAGCGGUGAAAUGCGUAGAUAUAUGGAGGAACACCGGUGGCGAAAGCGGCUCUCUGGUCUGUAACUGACGCUGAGGCUCGAAAGCGUGGGGAGCGAACAGGAUUAGAUACCCUGGUAGUCCACGCCGUAAACGAUGAGUGC
rnacentral:rRNA from 1 species